UCCGGUGUAGUGUAACGGCUAUCAUACCUGUCUUUCACACAGGAGAUCGGGGUUCGAUUCCCCGCACCGGAA
rfam:Aspergillus terreus NIH2624 scaffold_3 genomic scaffold, whole genome shotgun sequence.